rnacentral:rRNA from 1 species
GGGUGUGACUGCGUACCUUUUGUAUAAUGGGUCAGCGACUUAUAUUCUGUAGCAAGGUUAACCGUAUAGGGGAGCCGCAGGGAAACCGAGUCUUAACUGGGCGUUAAGUUGCAGGGUAUAGACCCGAAACCCGGUGAUCUAGCCAUGGGCAGGUUGAAGGUUGGGUAACACUAACUGGAGGACCGAACCGACUAAUGUUGAAAAAUUAGCGGAUGACUUGUGGCUGGGGGUGAAAGGCCAAUCAAACCGGGAGAUAGCUGGUUCUCCCCGAAAGCUAUUUAGGUAGCGCCUCGUGAACUCAUCUUCGGGGGUAGAGCACUGUUUCGGCUAGGGGGUCAUCCCGACUUACCAACCCGAUGCAAACUACGAAUACCGAAGAAUGUUAUCACGGGAGACACACGGCGGGUGCUAACGUCCGUCGUGAAGAGGGAAACAACCCAGACCGCCAGCUAAGGUCCCAAAGUCAUGGUUAAGUGGGAAACGAUGUGGGAAGGCACAGACAGCCAGGAUGUUGGCUUAGAAGCAGCCAUCAUUUAAAGAAAGCGUAAUAGCUCACUGGUCGAGUCGGCCUGCGCGGAAGAUGUAACGGGGCUAAACCAUG